rnacentral:rRNA from 1 species
AUGAACGCUAGCGAUAGGCUUAACACAUGCAAGUCGAGGGGCAGCAUGGUCUUAGCUUGCUAAGACUGCUGGCGACCGGCGCACGGGUGCGUAACGCGUAUGCAACUUGCCUCACAGAGGGGGAUAACCCGUCGAAAGACGGACUAAUACCGCGUACACUCCAUCUUGGGCAUCCAAGGUAGAGGAAAUGAAAUUCGCUGUGAGAUAGGCAUGCGUCCCAUUAGCUAGUUGGUGAGGUAACGGCUCACCAAGGCGACGAUGGGUAGGGGAACUGAGAGGUUGAACCCCCACACUGGUACUGAGACACGGACCAGACUCCUACGGGAGGCAGCAGUGAGGAAUAUUGGUCAAUGGGCGAGAGCCUGAACCAGCCAAGUCGCGUGAAGGAUGACUGUCUUAUGGAUUGUAAACUUCUUUUAUACGGGAAUAACAAGAGUCACGUGUGACUCCCUGCAUGUACCGUAUGAAUAAGCAUCGGCUAACUCCGUG